rnacentral:snoRNA from 1 species
AACCCAUCAUGAGAACACUUCAAGAGUAAACCAUUAAGUCCCUCCCAUGCUUCAAAGAAUUGUUCAUCUCCUUUGUGUGUAAACUCCAAAGUUUCCUUGUGAAU